rnacentral:rRNA from 1 species
GUACACUCCUGCGGGAGGCAGCAGUGGGGAAUUUUGGACAAUGGGCGAAAGCCUGAUCCAGCAAUGCCGCGUGAGUGAAGAAGGCCUUCGGGUUGUAAAGCUCUUUUGUCAGGGAAGAAACGGUGAAAGCUAAUAUCUUUUGCUAAUGACGGUACCUGAAGAAUAAGCACCGGCUAACUACGUGCCAGCAGCCGCGGUAAAACGUAGGGUGCAAGCGUUAAUCGGAAUUACUGGGCGUAAAGCGUGCGCAGGCGGUUUUGUAAGUCUGAUGUGAAAUCCCCGGGCUCAACCUGGGAAUUGCAUUGGAGACUGCAAGGCUAGAAUCUGGCAGAGGGGGGUAGAAUUCCACGUGUAGCAGUGAAAUGCGUAGAUAUGUGGAGGAACACCGAUGGCGAAGGCAGCCCCCUGGGUCAAGAUUGACGCUCAUGCACGAAAGCGUGGGGAGCAAACAGGAUUAGAAACCCGGGUAGUCCCAU